rnacentral:lncRNA from 1 species
GUAGGGUGUAGGGCAUCAAAAGCAAGCAUGGAUGUGGUGUGGAGUGUAGUAGAUUGGGUCUGGGUGCCUUGUUCCUAGGGCUCUCAGCUCAUCACAGACACUACGGCAGGCUGGCCUAACUUGUUCCUGCUCGAUCUCUGGUGGGGUGGUGUUGCUGCCAUUGCCGCUGUUGGCCACCUUUUCCAAAAGGCGCAGCGCAGGUGACCAAAGGGAAAGGAAAAGAUGUGCGAGGGCCUAGCAGCAAGCUGCAUGCGUCCACCCGAAGCCAGCAGCAUCGAUGCUAGUGGUAGUGCUACUUACCGUGU